GUCUACGGCCAUGCCACCCUGAACGUGCCCGAUCUUGUCUGGCCUCGGAAGCUAAGCAGGGUCGGGCCUGGUUAGUACUCGGAUGGGAGACCACCUAGGAAGACCAGGUGCUGUAGGCG
rnacentral:rRNA from 1 species